rnacentral:lncRNA from 1 species
UUGACCCCAAAAAAAUAAAAAAAUACAAAAUGGGAAAAUAAAUAAUUUUGAAGUCACGUUGUGCACACUCGAUUAAAGGCUAGCGUCCCUUGUGACGGGCGUGUGGGGUGCUAAUACCUUCCCUAUGCGUAAACAACUCCCAAACCCUUAUUUUUGAAAUUUGCAGACCCCUCUUUUUGAUGCGCGUUUUCCUUUUUGGAAGACGCACAUUUGGCUUUUCGCCUC